UCCUUUUCCCAUACCCAUUGCAUAUCGGAGUUGUGAAUUCUUAAAAUAUCUCCUGUAUGCAUGGAUUAUAGGAGGA
rfam:Cavia porcellus supercont2_132 genomic scaffold, whole genome shotgun sequence.